rnacentral:rRNA from 1 species
AGGCUUAACACAUGCAAGUCGAACGCUCCGCAAGGGGAGUGGCAGACGGGUGAGUAACGCGUGGGAAUCUACCCAGUUCUUCGGAAUAACACAGGGAAACUUGUGCUAAUACCGGAUACGCCCUACGGGGGAAAGAUUUAUCGGAAUUGGAUGAGCCCGCGUUGGAUUAGCUAGUUGGUGAGGUAAUGGCUCACCAAGGCGACGAUCCAUAGCUGGUCUGAGAGGAUGAUCAGCCACACUGGGACUGAGACACGGCCCAGACUCCUACGGGAGGCAGCAGUGGGGAAUAUUGGACAAUGGGCGCAAGCCUGAUCCAGCCAUGCCGCGUGAGUGAUGAAGGCCUUAGGGUUGUAAAGCUCCUUUCAGUAGGGAAGAUAAUGACGGUACCCUACAGAAGAAGCCCCGGCUAACUUCGUGCCAGCAGCCGCGGUAAUACCGAAGGGGGCUACGCGUUGUUCGGAUUUACUGGGCGUAAAGCGCACCGUAGGCGGAUUGUUAAGU